rnacentral:lncRNA from 9 species
CUCUGAUUCGACCCCUAGCCUGGAAACUAUGCCUCAGGGGCAGCCCUAAAAACAAUUUUUUUUAAAAACAGUUGAACCAAUUAAUGCAGUCCAAUUCUGACUGAGAAGAGCAGGAGUGUCAUUUCUCAUGCUUGCUUUGUCAUCUCAGACCUUCUGAAUGAGCACCAGUUCUUCAGAGGAGCCCCUCUUCUGCUGAUACCAGCCAGAAACCUAUUCUCAGGGCUACCUUCCAGCAGACUAGCCUCCUCCAUCAGAGCCUGGGCUCUGUGCUGUUUCUUCCACACCCAAACUGAAAACCAGUUCCUGACCUGCAGAACCCAAGCACACAUUAUCCCCACUUCAUGCACUGCCCCCUGCCAUCCCAGGGAGCGAGAAAUUGGAAAUGAAACACACUAUAUGCAGAUUGGUUUUAAUCACCUGGAACAGAUGGUGCAGAAAGUGGCAGUUAGGAGGAAGCCAAUGGAGGGAGGAAAUGAUGGUCUGAAGCCACUGAAUGCUGUCUACUUGAAGGCAAGGCCAGGCUGGACACAAGUAGAGAUGUGGACAUCAGUGAAGGAGAUGGUUCAGAAAUAUGAAUCUCAAGAAACCAAGAGACCUGCAGGGCACAGGCCAGACUUUUCAGCAAGGUGACCACAACAAUAGUGUCCAUUCCAUGUGUUCUUCUUAAACUUCCCCUUGCCUCUGACCAAUACAAUGCAUCAAAAGUGACAUCCUAGAAUGUAAGAAGCAAGAUCAAAAGGAGACUUGGAAUGCUAGCUGUUGGGAUGCUUCUUUGAGGAGCCCAACUACCAUGGCUGUGAGAAGCCCAAGACACACGAAGAAGCCGCUAGAACACCUGCAGGUGCUUCAGUCCACAAUCCAAGCUAAACUCCUAGCUGAUGGCCAUCAUCACACCAGCCACAUGAGUGCAUCAGCCUGUCAAGACUUUAGAUGGGAGAAACCCAAGGGCAAAGCAUCCAACUUAGCCCUGACAAUGUACAGAACCAUGAGAGAAAAUAAUAAAUUAUCUUAGUGAUGAUUGGUACAUAACACUAUAUAACCAGAACAAGUAUUAAGACACUCAACCAAAUGAUCUGAUUCCUG